GGGCUGCCUUCCAGGCUUUUGACCCAAUAGUCCAAAGAAUUUUAAAAACGAUGGUUCCAAACAAAGACAAGUGCUUUCUGUAUACUUGUGUCCUUGUUUUCAAUUUGCUACCAGUAAGGAAAAACAAGGCAGGCCUCCCAUCUUUGGCCUGCCGGGUAACAAUACCUUGACCAAACUUUGUCAUCCCACUUUGUGAUGUAAUUCAUCACCUUUAUAAAUAUCUGGUCCAGCAGAGACUUUUUGUCCCUCUUUGAGGUAGAGCCAUGUUGUCCUCAAGAGACAAGAAUAUGGAAAGCAGCAGAGGCUCGCUGUCAGCAUAACCAAAAAAGAGAGAGGAAAAGACCCCAGAAGACGUUUCCUCGAGCAAGAGAUCCAGGGUGGGGAAGUUCAUUCUAACUUGCUGCUUAUGUUGCAUUUGUGUCUCUCCACCGAAAUCACCACCAGGGCUGGCGAUUGAUGACAAGUCCAAAGAGGGAAAAGAGUCAGAGGCAUAACACCAUUGCCGGGUAAAGCAUUCUAAAAGUUUGGGCACUGAAAUAGGUGGCAGGGAAAGCCAGGGAGACCUCUGGAGGCAGAGGCGGUUUUCCCGGGGAGGAGGUUAGACCGGGCCUACCAGAGAAGACCCAAGACCUUUUGUCAGAUAAAACAACUGGGGUCAGGAAACCAAGGGUUUUAUACUUCAUCUAUUGCAGCUGCAUUUAUACCGCACCAAGGGAAUCACCAGGAAACAAGAACAACGGAGCCGCCCCACCUCUCCUUCCUCUGGAGCCACCCUGCCUCUCUUUCCUCCUCCUGCGCUGCAGGAGUAAAGAAGUUCCCUGACUGCCCGCAAUAAUUUUCUCUGGGCUUGAGGUGGGGCUGCGUUUCCCAGAGUACUUUGAGGCAGCUCAAAUGAUACCAACAUCAGACCAUGACCACCAACGUAUGGCUCAAUCAGGCAACCAUCCCAUGGGUGUUCAGUUUAAACCUCCCAAACUGGAGCAGAAACAACAAAGCAGCUACUUCAUUUUUACAGCAUCUGAUCCUGAUCUCCCAGUGAACAUUUACAUGCCCCUCUUCAUGUGCAGGAUGCAUUCCAAGAAAAUGGAGCACUCAGCAGUAAAUGUAAUCCCGGCUAUACACUGAAUACUAAGGUAUAAUGUUCUGAGCAUUUUUAAUACAAAAGCGAGGCUGUAUCACUGCAUUAAAUUGAAUGGACCAUCUAGUUCCUCUUCACUAAAAGAGAGGUAAUACUUUCAGAUAUCAGCAAGGCCAUCACUGACAUUAACCUCUUUGCCAUUAGAAUGAAUUUCUGCUGACACAUUCCCGCUGCAAAGCUGCAAACCAAUGACCAUGAGAUCUCAGUCACCAAAACUAGCACUGUCAGUUAAGCUGCCAGUCAUACUUACAAGCCUGACAGAGUUGAUGACAGGAACAAAUGCAAGGAGAGAAAAAGAAGUGAACUCUUUUGAGGGAACCUAUUUCUGCACUAAGAGUGCUGUUUUGUUUUUUCACUGUAGGUAAAUAGAUUUUCAUUCUCUCUAUGCAGCAUUAAAUACCAGCCCUGUAGAACACUGAACAGAGAUGGUGGAUUUGCCUGUUGUUAUAUGUGGAGACUGCAGGCAUUGCUCCAAGGUCAUUAGUCUGUCUGUAAUAGCCACCAUCUUUAAGAAACCAUAAUUAAUUUAGUUAUAUGAAUACAGCUGGCAUAUUCAUUACCAACUUCAGUGUGUGGUAUUUUCCAUAAAGACGAAGGGAGAAAUGAUACGUGGAAUCUUCUCAGAGCCCAUUCAGGUGAGUUUAGGGAUAAGAUCACUAUAGACCUGCUGUACAUACAAGUUUCAUAUUCUUACUCUAUGUGGCAUUGGACAAAGCUGUUUUCUCACUGUAUUCCUGGUUAUGUGCUGUAGCAUAUGACUUCCAGCAAAAGAACUAUGGUACCACCAGAAACCCAAUUUUCGGUACGUCUGGCUCAUAUCAUUCCCCAUACUGCCCAUUUUAGUGUGAUGUAGUGAAGAAAGUGUCAGAGGAAGACACUGGGGUCUGGCAACAGAACAUCUCAUAUACAGUAUUUUUCCAUGUAUAAGACUAUACUUUUGUCUAAAAUCUUUAGAAUAAAAAUUGAGGGUCAUCUUAUACA
ensembl:lncRNA